GGGGAUUUAGCUCAGUGGUAGAGCGCUUGCCUAGCAAGCUAGCAAGCGCAAGGCCCUGGGUUCGGUCCCCAGCUCCG
rfam:Rattus norvegicus chromosome 14, whole genome shotgun sequence.